rnacentral:rRNA from 1 species
CCUACGGGUGGCAGCAGUGGGGAAUAUUGGGCAAUGGGCGCAAGCCUGACCCAGCAACGCCGCGUGAAGGAAGAAGGCUUUCGGGUUGUAAACUUCUUUUCUGAGGGACGAAGAAAGUGACGGUACCUCAGGACUAAGCCACUGCUAACUUCGUGCACGCCGCCGCGGUAAUACGGAGGUGCGAAGCGUCAUCCGGAUUUAUUGGGUGUAAAGGGCGUGUAGGCGGGAAAGAAAGUCAGAUGUGAAGACUGAGGGCUCAACCCUGAGCCUGCAUUGGAAACUGUUUUUCUUGAGUGCUGGAGAGGCAAGUGGAAUUCCGGGUGUAGCGGUGAAAUGCGUAGAUAUAAGGAGGAACACCAGUGGCGAAGGCGGAUUACUGGACAGUAACUGACGCUGAGGCGCGAAAGCGUGGGGAGCAAACAGGAUUAGAUACCCUUGUAGUC